GGGUUGUGAGGUUAAGCGACUAAGCGUACACGGUGGAUGCCCUGGCAGUCAGAGGCGAUGAAGGACGUGCUAAUCUGCGAUAAGCGUCGGUAAGGUGAUAUGAACCGUUAUAACCGGCGAUUUCCGAAUGGGGAAACCCAGUGUGAUUCGUCACACUAUCAUUAACUGAAUCCAUAGGUUAAUGAGGCGAACCGGGGGAACUGAAACAUCUAAGUACCCCGAGGAAAAGAAAUCAACCGAGAUUCCCCCAGUAGCGGCGAGCGAACGGGGAGCAGCCCAGAGCCUGAAUCAGUGUGUGUGUUAGUGGAAGCGUCUGGAAAGGCGCGCGAUACAGGGUGACAGCCCCGUACACAAAAAUGCACAUGCUGUGAGCUCGA
rnacentral:rRNA from 2 species